rnacentral:rRNA from 1 species
AGAGUUUGAUCCUGGCUCAGGAUGAACGCUAGCGGCAGGCUUAACACAUGCAAGUCGAGGGGUAACAGGGAUUGCUUGCAAUCCGCUGACGACCGGCGCACGGGUGCGUAACGCGUAUGCAACCUACCUUCUACAGGGGGAUAGUCAAUAGAAAUGUUGAAUAAUACCCCAUACGAUCUUUGAAUAGCAUUAUUUAAAGAAGAAAGCUCCGGCGGUAGAAGAUGGGCAUGCGUCCUAUUAGUUAGUUGGUAAGGUAACGGCUUACCAAGACUUCGAUAGGUAGGGGUCCUGAGAGGGAGACCCCCCACACUGGUACUGAGACACGGACCAGACUCCUACGGGAGGCAGCAGUGAGGAAUAUUGGACAAUGGAGGCAACUCUGAUCCAGCCAUGCCGCGUGCAGGAAGACUGCCCUAUGGGUUGUAAACUGCUUUUAUACAGGAAGAAAUAUACCUACGUGUAGGUAUUUGACGGUACUGUACGAAUAAGGAUCGGCUAACUCCGUGCCAGCAGCCGCGGUAAUACGGAGGAUCCAAGCGUUAUCCGGAAUCAUUGGGUUUAAAGGGUCCGUAGGCGGUCUUUUAAGUCAGAGGUGAAAUCCUACAGCUCAACUGUAGAAUUGCCUUUGAUACUGAAAGACUUGAGUUAUUGUGAAGUAGUUAGAAUGUGUGGUGUAGCGGUGAAAUGCAUAGAGAUCACACAGAAUACCGAUUGCGAAGGCAGAUUACUAACAAUAUACUGACGCUGAGGGACGAAAGCGUGGGUAGCGAACAGGAUUAGAUACCCUGGUAGUCCACGCCGUAAACGAUGGAUACUAGCUGUUCGACCAACAUUGGUUGGUUGAGUGGCUAAGCGAAAGUGACAAGUAUCCCACCUGGGGAGUACGGUCGCAAGACUGAAACUCAAAGGAAUUGACGGGGGCCCGCACAAGCGGUGGAGCAUGUGGUUUAAUUCGAUGAUACGCGAGGAACCUUACCAGGGCUUAAAUGUAAGUUGCAUGAUUUAGAGAUAGAUCUUUCUUCGGACUACUUACAAGGUGCUGCAUGGUUGUCGUCAGCUCGUGCCGUGAGGUGUCAGGUUAAGUCCUAUAACGAGCGCAACCCCUGUCGUUAGUUGCCAGCAAGUUAAGUUGGGCACUCUAGCGAGACUGCCAGUGCAAACUGUGAGGAAGGUGGGGAUGACGUCAAAUCAUCACGGCCCUUACGUCCUGGGCUACACACGUGCUACAAUGGUCGGUACAGAGAGCAGCCACUACGCGAGUAGGAGCGAAUCUAUAAAACCGAUCUCAGUUCGGAUCGCAGUCUGCAACUCGACUGCGUGAAGCUGGAAUCGCUAGUAAUCGGAUAUCAGCCAUGAUCCGGUGAAUACGUUCCCGGGCCUUGUACACACCGCCCGUCAAGCCAUGGAAGCUGGGAGUACCUGAAGUCGGUUACCGCAAGGAGCUGCCUAGGGUAAAACUGGUAACUGGGGCUAAGUCGUAACAAGGUAACC